AGAAAAUUAGUUAAUUAUAAUAUAAAAUUGUCAAUUUUAAGUUACUUCAAAGUAUUUUCUA
rnacentral:tRNA from 1 species